AGGCUAAUCACUUUACAAUAUUGUAGUGGGUUUUGUCAUACAUUGACAUGAAUCAGCCAUGGAUUUACAUGUGUUCCCCAUCCCGAGCUUUGACAUCUGCCAUUUUCUACCUUUAAAUAUUCGCUUCUGCCCUUCCCUCUUCCAGAAAUGCUCUUCUUCAUCUCUGCCUACUAGUUCUGUAUAUACUUUGGGCACACCAUCUUACUGUUGCCGGUGCUAACAUGUCCACAACUCUUAACAGCCCUCCUUCCAAAAGUAGAGCUGAAUUGCCUUCUCCUUGAGUGUGUUCUAGACUGAGUGACUCCCCUCUAAUGAAUAGAACAUGGUAGAAGUGAGACCAAGUGACAAGUAGGAUAUCUUGCUUACCCCUCUCUCUGGAUGAUUUUUGCUCUGAGAGAAGUCAUGUACUGUGUCGUGAGGCCCCUCAGCAGUUUAUACAGAGGCCCGUGGGGCCAGGAACCAAGACCUCCUACAACUGAUGUGUGAAUGAACCCCCGUGGGAGCAGAUACUCCUCAGCCAGCCUCCGAUGACUGCGACCUUGGCUCGGAGUCAGAACCACCCAGCUAACUUAAUGCUGUCACAUUCUUCACCCACACUAACUAGAUGAUCUUUGCCAAAUCAGCUGCUGGUUGUUAAAAGACAUUCUCAGCAUCACAUUUCACAUUUCCAGCAAUGAUGUAUGCCCGACAUCUAUGGACCAAUUAAAAUGUUACGCUUCUACUAAAUCAGUCUUGCAAAAACUGCUAUUAUACCUUAUUGUGGGCUUCCCAGAUGGCACCAGUGGUGAAGAAUCCACCUGCCAAUGCAGAAGACACUAGAGACAUGGGUUCAAUCCCUGGGCCAGGAAGAUCCCCUGGAGAAAUGAACAGCUACCCACGCCAGUGUUCUUGCCUGGAGAAUGCCAUGGACAGAGGAGCCUGGCGGGCUACAGUCCAUGGGGUCACAAAGAGUCGAACACGCUGAGCACACUGUCCAGUCUAUACUGUGUUGUCCUUCCUUGAGACUUGUACUUAUCUUUUUAUCAUAUAUGUCUGUUUUUUCUGUUCUCAAGUAGAUGUGCCAGCUAUUGGUUCUGGCUUUUAUUGUCUCAGGGCAGUUUGUGUUUAAAGAUUGUUGUGCCAGAGAAUUUUGACACGCACUCAAAUAUCAAGGCAUCAUAUAUUCUGAAAAUAAACAUGCCAAGUUCAUGUUCAUAGUUUUUGGUUGUGUGUGUUGUAAAUGUUAUGUGUAAUGGUUGUCUCUGUUGAGAGAGGUUGCAUCUAAAUUAGGGAAAAAUGGGCUCUUAAACCAAAACCUGAAAACAUUUGUUAUUGUUUAGUCUUUAAGUCAUGUCUGAUUCUCUGUGACCCCAUGGACUGCAGCACGCCAGGCUUCCCUGUUCUCUACUGUCUCCCAGAGCUUACUCAAACUCACGUCCAUUGAGUCGGUGAUGCCAUCCAGCCAUCUCAUCCUCUGUCAUCUCCUUCUCCUCUUGCCCUCAAUCUUACCCAGUAUCAGGAUCUUUUUCAGUGAAUCAACUCUUCACAUCAGGUGGACAAAGUAUUGGAGCUUCAGCUUCAGCAUCAGUCCUUCCAGAGAUAAGCAUGGCAAAGCCUAAAAAAAAAAUCAUUGGUUAAAAUACUUUAUUGAUUGCUUAAAACUAAAGUACGUACCAACAUGCUACCUUUUCAGAUCUGGCUGCCUAUUUAUAGCACCCAUCUAGAAUGAUGCAGAGAAUCAAGAAAAAAAGAAAUCAAGCCUAGAACAGCCAAAGUAGACGUGACAAAUAAACAGCUUUUUGGUGGAACAGGCCUCUUAGUCCCUUGUGUGUGCGCGUGCUCAGUUGCUCAGUCAGAUACAGCUCUUUGCCACCCCAUGGACUACAGCCUGCCAGGCUCCUCCAGCCAUGGAAUUUUCCUGGCAAGAAUACUAGAGUGGGUUGCCAUUUCCUAAUCCAGUAGAAUCUUCCUGACCCAGGGAGUCCCUUAUAUUAUACAAAAUUCAAAUUAGCUCUUAAAUCUUUACAAACCCAGAUCAGAUUACAAAUAUUAAAUUAGGACAUAAGCAGCCAUGCUGUCAAGAGAGAGAGAGUUAGCUUGACAUCCUGAUAGCAAGAGAAACACAAGAGAACCAUACAAAAGAGGAGCAUAAGCAAAGGCUGAUAAGGCCCUAGGAUACAUCAACUGCCUCUGCAAUCAACCUUUAAUCCUGUCACUCUCUUACAGUGCUUUAAAUACUAUCAAAUUUGAGUCAUAUUCAGUCUACUACUAUGCUUCAGAAGUCAGGGAAGGUUUUUUUCUUUUUUUUAUUAACCAUUUUUAAAAAUUGAAGUCUGUGGAAGCAACCUAGAUGCCCAUCAGCAGAUGAAUGGAUAAGAAAGCUGUGGUACAUAUACACCAUGGAAUAUUACUCAGCCAUUAAAAUGAAUUCAUUUGAAUCAGUUCUAAUGAGAUGGAUGAAACUGGAGCCCAUUAUACAGAGUGAAGUAAGCCAGAAAGAUAAACACCAAUGCAGUAUACUAAUGCAUAUAUAUGGAAUUUAGAAAGAUGGUAAUGAUAACCCUAUAUGCAAGACAGAAAAAGAGACACAGAUGUAUAGAACAGACUUUUGGACUCUAUGGGAGAAGGUGAGGGUGG